AUUCUACCCAUGCGGGGAAGGAUGAGAAGCUUCGACUAAGGUUCGAUUCGAGCGCAGCGAGAACGCGUUGCCGCAGGCAACGACCCGAAGGGCGAAGCGCGCAGCGCUGAGUCAUCCUUCCCCCACCACCA
rnacentral:sRNA from 13 species